UCGACCUGAGCUCAGGCAAGGUUACCCGCUGAACUUAAGCAUAUCAAUAAGCGGAGGAAAAGAAACUAACAAGGAUUCCCCUAGUAACGGCGAGCGAACCGGGAAUAGCCCAACUUGUAAAUCUCCCUCGGAGAAUUGUAGUCUACAGAGGCAUCUUCUGCAACGGCCGGACCUCAAGUCCCCUGGAAGGGGGCGUCAGAGAGGGUGAGAACCCCGUCGGGUCUUGGUGCGGUUGCCUCACGAAGUGCUUUCCAAGAGUCGGGUUGUUUGGGAAUGCAGCCCUAAUUUGGUGGUAAAUCCCAUCUAAGGCUAAAUAUUGGCGAGAGACCGAUAGCGAACAAGUACCGCGAGGGAAAGAUGAAAAGAACUUUGAAAAGAGAGUUAAAAAGUGCUUGAAAUUGUUGAGGGGGAAGCGAUUGGCAGCUGUGUGUGCACCCAGGCUUACGCCGUCUUAACGGGCGGCUGCAUGUGCUGGGUGCUGGUCAGCAUGGGUUAGCCUGGCAGGAUAAACGCAGGGGUUGCUACUCUGUCUAUACUGCCGGGCUGACCGAGGCGUGAAGGCCGCUCUUGUCCCUCGGGAUCUGCGGCCUCAAGAUGCUGGCGGAAGGCUUUCAAUCGGCCCGUCUUGAAACACGGACCAAGGAGUCUAACAUGUAUGCGAGCUGGUGGGUGGCAAACCCAUGAGGCGCAAGUAACCUGACUGGUGGGAUGGCGUAAGCCUGCACCAUCGACCGACCAUGAUCUUCUGUGAAAGGUUCGAGUACGAGCAUACCUGUUGGGACCCGAAAGAUGGUGAACUAUGCCUGAGCAGGGCGAAGCCAGAGGAAACUCUGGUGGAGGCUCGUAGAUGUGCUGACGUGCAAAUCGCUUUUCGGACUUGGGUAUAGGGGCGAAAGACUAAUCGAACCAUCUAGUAGCUGGUUCCCUCCGAAGUUUCCCCCAGGAUAGCUGGAGCUUGAUCAGUUUUAUCGGGUAAAGCUAAUGAUUAGAGGUUCGGGGGAUGAAACAUCCUCCACCUAUUCUCAAACUUUAAAUAGGUAAGACGUGUGGGUUGCUUGAUUGAACCCAUGCAUUCAAUGAGAGCUCCAAGUGGGCCAUUUUUGGUAAGCAGAACUGGCGAUGCGGGAUGAACCGAUAGUCGAGUUAAGGUGCCAGACUACGCGCUAACCUAGAUCCCACAAAGGGUGUUGAUUGAUACAGACAGCAGGACGGUGGUCAUGGAAGUCGAAAUCCGCUAAGGAGUGUGUAACAACUCACCUGCCGAAUCAAUUAGCCCCGAAAAUGGAUGGCGCUGAAGCGCGUGACCUAUACUCGGCCAUGGGGGCAAGUGCGAGGCUCCCAUGAGUAGGAGGGCGUGGGUGUCGCUGCGCAGCCUGGGGCGCGAGCCCGGGUGAAGCGGCACCUAGUGCAGAUCUUGGUGGUAGUAGCAAAUAUUCAAAUGAGAACUUUGAAGACUGAAGGGGAGAAA
rnacentral:rRNA from 1 species